UACGGAGGGGGCUAGCGUUGUUCGGAAUUACUGGGCGUAAAGCGCACGUAGGCGGACCAGAAAGUUGGGGGUGAAAUCCCGGGGCUCAACCUCGGAACUGCCUUCAAAACUAUUGGUCUGGAGUUCGAGAGAGGUGAGUGGAAUUCCGAGUGUAGAGGUGAAAUUCGUAGAUAUUCGGAGGAACACCAGUGGCGAAGGCGGCUCACUGGCUCGAUACUGACGCUGAGGUGCGAAAGCGUGGGGAAGCAAACAGG
rnacentral:rRNA from 1 species